CGCAGCGAAAGCGAGUCUUAAAGGGCGCAUGAGUUCGUGGGAUCAGACCCGAAACCAGGUGAUCUAGCCAUGAGCAGGAUGAAGGUUGGGUAACACCAACUGGAGGUCCGAACCAACACCCGUUGAAAAGGGUCUGGAUGACUUGUGGCUAGGGGUGAAAGGCUAAUCAAACCUGGAGAUAGCUGGUUCUCCGCGAAAGCUAUUUAGGUAGCGCCUCGGACGAAUACCAUCGGGGGUAGAGCACUGCAUGGAUGAUGGGGGCCCACAGCCUUACUGAGUCUAAGCAAACUCCGAAUACCGAUGAGUACUAUCCGGGAGACACACGGCGGGUGCUAACGUCCGUCGUGAAGAGGGAAACAACCCUGACCUGCAGCUAAGGCCCCUAAUUCGUGGCUAAGUGGGAAAGCAUGUGGGACGGCCAAAACAACCAGGAUGUUGGCUUAGAAGCAGCCAUCAUUUAAAGAUAGCGUAACAGCUCACUGGUCUAGACAAGCUGUCCUGCGGCGAAGAUGUAACGGGGCU
rnacentral:rRNA from 1 species